rnacentral:lncRNA from 1 species
AAUCUACUCUGAAAUAGAUUCCCAUUAUCUUCUGUAAUAAACAAGAAGGUGGUUUUUGCUACUAACUUCUCCUUGCUAACAACAGCAUCAACAAGGAACCAGCACAUCCCCAGCAGGUACAUCCAGACUAGCCUUGCCAUUAGAAAGUAAUCAAGAAGCCACUACUUGGAAACUACUUCGAAAAGGUAAUAAAAAGAAUGCUUAUUCUUUCCAUGAUGUUUAAAUUUCUUUAAGUCAUCUAUGAAAAAUGCAAAGAUCUACCCAU